UAGGGAAUCUUCCGCAAUGGGCGAAAGCCUGACGGAGCAACGCCGCGUGAGUGAUGAAGGUCUUCGGAUCGUAAAACUCUGUUAUUAGGGAAGAACAAAUGUGUAAGUAACUAUGCACGUCUUGACGGUACUUAAUCAGAAAGCCACGGCUAACUACGUGCCAGCAGCCGCGGUAAUACGUAGGUGGCAAGCGUUAUCCGGAAUUAUUGGGCGUAAAGCGCGCGUAGGCGGUUUUUUAAGUCUGAUGUGAAAGCCCACGGCUCAACCGUGGAGGGUCAUUGGAAACUGUAAAACUUGAGUGCAGAAGAGGAAAGUGGAAUUCCAUGUGUAGCGGUGAAAUGCGCAGAGAUAUGGAGGAACACCAGUGGCGAAGGCGACUUUCUGGUCUGUAACUGACGCUGAUGUGCGAAAGCGUGGGGAUCAAACAGG
rnacentral:rRNA from 1 species